GCUGUGCAGUACUUCCCUCUUGUCGGUCACUGCAUGUAGCGUGGCCGAGCAGAUGGACUGCAGCCGAUAAACUAACCUGUCGUGACAGUUUGGAAAGCUGUGCUUUACAGCAUGUGAACAGAUAGAUAUAGAUAUAUAUAUAUUCCCUAACCACACACAGACCCCUUCACUCACUACACUGCAAGCAGCUGCCUCUAUACACACUUUCCUGGACCAAUUCUGUCUGCUGCUAUCCCACUUAUCGGGUCCCCGAAGCAAUUCACCAGUAAACACAGCACAAGCGUGUCAUUAAUUAUUUGGUUAAAUUACUUCUUCCCAGGCUACCUAUAAGCCGAUUGUAAAGCUGAAUAUGCAGUUAAAAUAGUGAAGGAUUUGUGCAAGAAAGCUAAAUUAGAUGGCAGAGACCCAUCAAAUGGAGGAAGCAUACCAUAUAAAGUCAUGAAACGUAGUCCAGCUCAGCAGCUGAUAUCAAGGAGUUUAAAUACUUCUUUACCAGUAGCCAACAAAUUAUUAAGGCCUUGUGUGAUAAUGUACCAGAAAAACUGCCCCAGGGAAAACUCAUGUACACAUCAAUGUAGGAAGCAUCUGUCAAAGGCUUACUGAAUCGAAUUAUAAAAAAAUGCCUGCAUGAAGCCACUCCGUGCUGAUAGGACUGGUUGCAGUAGGCUGGUUAUCUGUGCAUGUUGUACAUUUCACACAAUGCUGUUGAAACAAUGAUUUUUAAGGGAUGGCCCUGGGACAUCUUUGCUCAACCGAAUAGCUAACAAGAACUUAAUGUGAACCUGGAAUGAAAAAUGUCACACAUGAGAAAUAGGAUCUCUCCCACUGAAUACACCAUAUAUCACAAAUAUAUAUGAAGUAUUCAGUGUAAAAUGUAUGGAUUUUUUAACUUUC